rnacentral:rRNA from 1 species
UACGUAGGGUGCAAGCGUUAAUCGGAAUUACUGGGCGUAAAGCGUGCGCAGGCGGCUUUGCAAGACAGAUGUGAAAUCCCCGGGCUUAACCUGGGAACUGCAUUUGUGACUGCAUGGCUGGAGUGCGGCAGAGGGGGAUGGAAUUCCGCGUGUAGCAGUGAAAUGCGUAGAUAUGCGGAGGAACACCGAUGGCGAAAGCGAGCUGCUGGACCCCUCCUGACGCUGAGGCGCGAAAGCCAGGGUAGCGAACGGG